rnacentral:rRNA from 1 species
GGAUUAGAUACCCUGGUAGUCCACGCCGUAAACGAUGUCAACUAGCCGUUGGAGAUCUUAGUAUCUUUAGUGGCGUAGCUAACGCGCUAAGUUGACCGCCUGGGGAGUACGGUCGCAAGAUUAAAACUCAAAUGAAUUGACGGGGGCCCGCACAAGCGGUGGAGCAUGUGGUUUAACUCGACGCAACGCGAAGAACCUUACCUGGUCUUGACAUCCUGCGAACCUUCUAGAGAUAGAUUGGUGCCUUCGGGAACGCAGUGACAGGUGCUGCAUGGCUGUCGUCAGCUCGUGCCG